rnacentral:rRNA from 1 species
GGAAACGAUGUGGGAAGGCCCAGACAGCCAGGAUGUUGGCUUAGAAGCAGCCAUCAUUUAAAGAAAGCGUAAUAGCUCACUGGUCGAGUCGGCCUGCGCGGAAGAUGUAACGGGGCUAAACCAUGCACCGAAGCUGCGGCAGCGAACGUAUCACUUAAAGCGAUUCAGCGGGUUACGAUUGACGGAGCGAAGCGACGUCAAAGCGUAUACAAAGUCGAGUCGGUUUAAGGAUACGUUCGUUGGGUAGGGGAGCGUUCUGUAAGCCCGUGAAGGUGGCCUGUGAGGGUUGCUGGAGGUAUCAGAAGUGCGAAUGCUGACAUAAGUAACGAUAAAGCGGGUGAAAAGCCCGCUCGCCGGAAGACCAAGGGUUCCUGUCCAACGUUAAUCGGGGCAGGGUGAGUCGACCCCUAAGGCGAGGCCGAAAGGCGUAGUCGAUGGGAAACGGGUUAAUAUUCCCGUACUUGGUGUUACUGCGAAGGGGGGACGGAGAAGGCUAUGUUGGCCGGGCGACGGUUGUCCCGGUUUAAGCGUGUAGGUGUGUGUUCCAGGUAAAUCCGGUUCACUUUAACACUGAGGCGUGA